rnacentral:rRNA from 1 species
UGGGGGAUAUUGCACAAUGGGCGAAAGCCUGAUGCAGCGACGCCGCGUGGGGGAUGAAGGCCUUCGGGUUGUAAACUUCUUUUGCUCUGAACAAGGCAUGCUAAUGGGUGUGUUGAGUGUAGGGGUUGAUUAGCGCCGGCUAACUACGUGCCAGCAGCCGCGGUAAUACGUAGGGCGCGAGCGUUGUCCGGAAUUAUUGGGCGUAAAGGGCUUGUAGGUGGCUGGUUGCGUCUGUCGUGAAAGCUCAUGGCUUAACUGUGGGUUUGCGGUGGGUACGGGCUGGCUUGAGUGCAGUAGGGGAGGCUGGAAUUCCUGGUGUAGCGGUGGAAUGCGCAGAUAUCAGGAGGAAUACCGGUGGCGAAGGCGGGUCUCUGGGCUGUUACUGACACUGAUGAGCGAAAGCAUGGGGAGCGAACAGG